GGUGGUGGGUGCAGGCUUCAAACCUGUAGGGGCUUAGUGGCCCAGUGGUUCGAACCCACCUUG
rnacentral:tRNA from 12 species